GGAUGUGAGGGCGAUCUGGCUGCGACAUCUGUCACCUCAUUGAUCACCAGGGUUGAUUCGGCUGAUCUGGCUGGCUAGGCGGGUGUCCCCUUCCUCCCUCACCGCUCCAUGUGCGUCCCUCCCGAAGCUGCGCGCUCGGUCGAAGAGGACGACCAUCCCCGAUAGAGGAGGACCGUUCUUCGGUCAAGGGUAUACGAGUAGCUCCGCUCCCCUGCUAGAACCUCCAAACAAGCAUUCAAGAGAUGAGAGAUUUUAAAUUGAUCUAUAAAUAAAUUUAAUUCCAUAUGUCCCUCCCUGCCCAGGGGAUAUUGU
rnacentral:snRNA from 1 species